UAGUCAUAACACAUGCAAGUCGAGCGGUAGAGAAGGAGCUUGCUUCUUCUUGAGAGCGGCGGACGGGUGAGUAAUGCCUAGGAAUCUGCCUGGUAGUGGGGGACAACGUUUCGAAAGGAACGCUAAUACCGCAUACGUCCUACGGGAGAAAGUGGGGGAUCUUCGGACCUCACGCUAUCAGAUGAGCCUAGGUCGGAUUAGCUUGUAGGUGAGGUAAUGGCUCACCUAGGCAACGAUCCGUAACUGGUCUGAGAGGAUGAUCAGUCACACUGGAACUGAGACACGGUCCAGACUCCUACGGGAGGCAGCAGUGGGGAAUAUUGGACAAUGGGCGAAAGCCUGAUCCAGCCAUGCCGCGUGUGUGAAGAAGGUCUUCGGAUUGUAAAGCACUUUAAGUUGGGAGGAAGGGUUGUAGCUUAAUACGCUGCAACUUUGACGUUACCAACAGAAUAAGCACCGGCUAACUCUGUGCCAGCAGCCGCGGUAAUACAGAGGGUGCAAGCGUUAAUCGGAAUUACUGGGCGUAAAGCGCGCGUAGGCGGCUUGAUAAGAUGGGUGUGAAAUCCCCGGGCUUAACCUGGGAACUGCAUCCAUAACUGUCUGGCUAGAGUACAGUAGAGGGUGGUGGAAUUUCCUGUGUAGCGGUGAAAUGCGUAGAUAUAGGAAGGAACACCAGUGGCGAAGGCGUCCACCUGGACUGAUACUUACCCUGAGGUUCC
rnacentral:rRNA from 1 species